rnacentral:rRNA from 1 species
UAAUACGUAGGGUGCAAGCGUUGCCCGGAUUUAUUGGGCGUAAAGGGCGCGCAGGCGGCCACGCACGUCCGUUGUGAAAUCGCUCGGCUCAACUGGGCGGGGUCAGCGGAUACGGCGCGGCUGGAGCAAGCUAGGGGGCAAUGGAAUUCCCGGUGUAGUGGUGGAAUGCGUAGAUAUCGGGAGGAACACCAGUGGCGAAGGCGGUUGCCUGGAGCUUUGCUGACGCUGAGGCGCGAAAGCGUGGGGAGCGAUCCGGAUUAGAUACCCUGGUAGUCCACGCCGUAAACGAUGAGUGCUCGAUGGUGCGCCGAUUGGGGCGCACUGUCUAAGCUAACGCGUUAAGCACUCCACCUGGGGAGUACGCUCGCAAGGGUG